rnacentral:RNase_P_RNA from 1 species
UGAGUAAAUUAUACAAUCGCAUGCCUAGCAUGAGGAAAGUCCGAGCUCCAUAGAGCAGGGUGCCGGGUAACCCCCGGUGAGGGUGACCUCAAGGACAGUGCAACAGAAAGAAACCGCCCCGCACCCAAGGUGCGAGGUAAGGAUGGAAAGGUGAGGUAAGAGCUCACCGGCAAUCAGGCGACUGGUUGGCCAUGUAAACCCCACCCGGAGCAAGACCAAAAAAGGACCUUGGAGUGGCUGCUCGUCACGGUCCAAAUGGUAGGUCGCUUGAGUCUGCCGGCAACGGCAAACCUAGAUAGAUGAUUGUUUAAUACAGAACUCGGCUUAUGUAUUUACUCACCAA